AUGCACAGAUGCAUGGAUGAAAGUUUGGAGCUCCAUCAGUGGCAGAUGGGGCACAUCAUCAAGCCGUUCUCGUUGCACUUGCCGCACCUCUCGACCACGCCGCCGGUGCCGCCGACCACCACCUUGCAGCCGCCGCCGCACUCCAGGCACGGCACGAACCGCGCCCCGCCGCACCCCUCGCAGCCGCGGCCGUCCUUGGCCGCGCACGCCUCCCCGCGCGCCCUGGCCCAACGCAGCAUCUCCGCCAGCUUCCCGCUCUCCACCAGCUCCGCGCACGCCUCCGCGCCGCCCAGGUACCGCCCCAUCACGAACAGCCUCGGCGGCGGCGAGACGCCGGCGCCCUGCUCCUCGUCGGCCGCCAGCAGCUCCCGGAGCUCGCGCAGGUACUCCCCGUGCAGCGCCACGUCGCGCUCGUCCACGGUCAGGCCCGCCGCCUCCGCGCACAUCUCGACCGCCGCACGCGCGCGCUCGCAUUCCUCGAACGUGCGCCGCACGCCACGGAGCGUCGUCGUGUACAGCACCACCCCGCCGCCGCUCGCGCCCGGGGGGCGUCGCUCGGGAUACCCCUCAAACGGGUCCCUCCGGCGCCACUUGGGCGCGGUGGCGGUCCCGUCCGCGUUCUUGGUCUCGCGGUCCCGCAGCAGGAAGGGGUUUUCUUUCACGACGCGCCGCCCUGUGAGCUCCGGCGGCGCGGGCUUCCUCGUGUCAGAAUCCGAUGCGCCACGCGCGUACGGCGUCGGCGGUGGCGGGGCCUUCUUGGCAGCCUCUCCCGUGCCGGCAACAGACGGCGUCUGGGACGUCUGCUCCUUCUGA
rnacentral:rRNA from 1 species